AAUUCAAGGGCGUAUGGUGGAUGCCUUGGCUAGAAAUAGCGAUGAAGGACGUGGCGUGGCGGCGAUACGCUUCGGGGAGGUGCCUAGCAACCUU
rnacentral:rRNA from 1 species